rnacentral:snRNA from 1 species
AGAUGAGCUCAACGAGAA